rnacentral:misc_RNA from 1 species
CAAAAAACCAGCAUGAGGUUGAGUAUUAUCUGGUUGGUUCUCAGCUUAUAUUUUUCACCUUCUGCGGACAGCUUACACAACCAUACUACUGAUUCUUUGGAUGCUUUUCUUCAGGAUUCUGCUUUCAAGUCUCUGGUCCAGAACCGGCCGCAGACUGGUGCUCUAUACAGAGCUUUUCUCCCUGCUAAUCUGUCAGGCAUGGAGGUUUCGAUUGUUCGUCUCAGAAGCCGGAGAUUGUGGAACAUUGGUGCUAAUUUUACCAACUUUCAAAUUCCAUCGAGAACCAGGACAAUGCCUCAUGUGAAGAGGUUGGCUAUAGUCUACCAGGACUUGGGUAACUGGUCUUCUCACUAUUACAGUGUUCCAGGCUACUCAAUGGUAACCUCUGUUGUUGGUUUCAUGGUUUUUAAUGCAUCAAAUGCAAGAGCCAGGAGUCUCGAGAAGAUUAGUCUCAAUACAAGAGGGAGGAGUAUAGUGAUUCAUUUUUCCGACUUGACAUUACCUGAGAGCAGGAUCUCAGGAGCUCAAUGCGUAGCAUUUAGUGAAAAUGGGACAGUUCACCUUAGUGAAAUGAAUCAGCUUAGUGUAUGUUACUCUCAUGAUCAGGGUCACUUCUCCAUUGUGGUUCCAGUGGAGAGGAAAGGACAGGGCACUAGGAAGCGGAGACUAUUUUAUUUGUGGAUUAUAGGGUUUGUGCUUGGACUAGGUGGACUCACUUUGGUGGGAUAUUUUGGGUUGGCGUCUAAGAAACUUUUGAAGACCCAGAAGAUUCAAGUAAUGGAAAGACAAGCUGAUGAAGAUUUGGUUCUUGAAACCAUAUGGGUUGGCAGUAGUAAAAUGCCAUCUGCAACAGUAACAAGAACUCAGCCAACCAUUGAGAGUGGAGGUUUUCCAUAGCUUUCCUUUGCUCUUUUUUUGCGUUCUUCCUUCCUGAUCAUCUAUGUUUAUCCCUCUGGAUUCUAGUCUUCUUCCUCUCGUCUUCUCCUUCUUUCGUUUUUUGGUUCAAAUGCGAGGUUUGAUAAAAUCUUUCUACAGAUAAUACGUUCGAUUGCCUGAACAUCUGACUGGGAUUCGGGAUUUGUGGAAUGUUG